AUUUUAUCCUUCCUCUCUCCUCAGCUACUUUCUUGUUAGGUGAUCGGGUUUCUCCUCCGGCCCAUCAGCUGAAUAGGUGGGGCUUGAUCAAUGGCAGGAAACUGAAGGAUCAAAUGUAGACUGUGCCUGUUGAAGGUGGCUGGAUUUCUGUAAGGUCCACGUAUCCCAGGCUGCAGCGAGAGAGGGCCACGGCCGUUGCGGGUGUAAGUCAUAAAAUGGUGCCAGGCUGCAACAUGAAGGCAGGGGCUGUGAAACCGUACCCUCAUCAUCUGACUGUACAGUAGAGAGACAGAGUCUCACUCUCGGUGUAAGCG
ensembl:lncRNA